rnacentral:rRNA from 1 species
UACGAAGGGGGCUAGCGUUGCUCGGAAUCACUGGGCGUAAAGCGCACGUAGGCGGACUCUUAAGUCGGUGGUGAAAUCCUGGAGCUCAACUCCAGAACUGCCUUCGAUACUGGGAGUCUCGAGUUCGGGAGAGGUGAGUGGAACUGCGAGUGUAGAGGUGAAAUUCGUAGAUAUUCGCAAGAACACCAGUGGCGAAGGCGGCUCACUGGCCCGAUACUGACGCUGAGGAGCGAAAGCGUGGGGAGCGAACAGG